rnacentral:misc_RNA from 1 species
GAAAUGCGAUAAGUAAUGUGAAUUGCAGAAUUCCGUGAAUCAUCGAAUCUUUGAACGCACAUUGCGCCCUCUGGCAUUCCGGGGGGCAUGCCUAAACUUUCGACCUGAGCUCAGGCAAGGCUACCCGCUGAACUUAAGC